UUUAAAAUAAGAUAAAGUUUCGUAGUUCAGGCGAGGUUGGUGGAUCAACCAAUUUGAAAAACAUGCCCACCAGUUCUUCAGGAGUUGAGUCAGUUGAUUCAGUUAUAAUGCUGUUGAUAGUUCCUAAUGGUUUGCGCGUAUAAUGGAUUCUUGACAUGUUCGAGUUUGUUGGUUCUUCCUUCUUCAGUAUUCGGUAGUGUUAGAUGAUGGGAGUUGUGCAAUGUUGACUUUUCCGUGUUUUCGUAUAAUGAUGGUGCCAAGGAAUUCACGUUGUUUUCUUGUAAGUUCUAGAGUGAACUGUAUGCUUGGAUCCAUUGAGUUCAGUGUGUUGUGGAAUGUCAACGAAGCGCCCCACUAGUCUUGGGAGGUACAAGUGUUAUCUAUUUCAUCAAUUCUUUCCAUGCAGAGAUUUGCAGUGACCGGGAUAACGGCUCCCCAUGGCACAUCCAUGUAUUUGUUUGUUAAUGUAUGUCCGUUAAAGAUGAAGUAGUUGGAAAGAACAUACUGUAACGUAAUCGUGAAACCAUGUCAUCAAUGUCCAUGUUGGUUCUAUGUCUUACAGUUUUCGAGUUUGUCUUUUUUAUAUAUAUCGCAUGCUCUCUGGACUGCAUGGUAUCGCAGUAAACAAGGGAAUCGAAUCAAACGGCAUCAUUACUUCAUCGUCGGCGAAACUCCUUCACAUUUUCAUCGGUUAAACCAUUCUUGGUCUGUAGUGGAGAUACAGUA